CAGCAGCCGCGGGAAUACAGAGGGUGCGAGCGUAAUCGGAUUUACUGGGCGUAAAGCGUGCGUAGGCGGCUUUUUAAGUCGGAUGUGAAAUCCCUGAGCUUAACUUAGGAAUUGCAUUCGAUACUGGGAAGCUAGAGUAUGGGAGAGGAUGGUAGAAUUCCAGGUGUAGCGGUGAAAUGCGUAGAGAUCUGGAGGAAUACCGAUGGCGAAGGCAGCCAUCUGGCCUAAUACUGACGCUGAGGUACGAAAGCAUGGGGAGCAAACAGGAUUAGAUACCCCAGUAGUCCCUGUCUCUUAUACA
rnacentral:rRNA from 1 species